rnacentral:rRNA from 1 species
AUUGAACGCUGGCGGCAGGCCUAACACAUGCAAGUCGAACGGUAGCACAGAGAGCUUGCUCUCGGGUGACGAGUGGCGGACGGGUGAGUAACGUCUGGGAAACUGCCCGAUGGAGGGGGAUAACUACUGGAAACGGUAGCUAAUACCGCAUAACGUCGCAAGACCAAAGUGGGGGACCUUCGGGCCUCACACCAUCGGAUGUGCCCAGAUGGGAUUAGCUAGUAGGUGGGGUAAUGGCUCACCUAGGCGACGAUCCCUAGCUGGUCUGAGAGGAUGACCAGCCACACUGGAACUGAGACACGGUCCAGACUCCUACGGGAGUGAGCAGUGGGGAAUAUUGCACAAGGGGCUCAAGCCUGAUGCAGCCAUGCCGCGUGUAUGAAGAAGGCCUUCGGGUUGUAAAGUACUUUCAGCGGGGAGGAAGGCGGUGAAGUUAAUAACUUCACCGAUUGACGUUACCCGCAGAAGAAGCACCGGCUAACUCCGUGCCAGCCGCCGCCGUAA